GCUCCGUUCGUCUAGUGGCCUAGGACUCCGCCCUCUCACGGCGGCAACAGGGGUUCGAGUCCCCUACGGAGUACCA
rnacentral:tRNA from 1 species